GGCGUGGCUGACUGAUGGGGGAGUAGUCUUUGCAGAGGCAUCCGUCAGCCAAUCAAAUCGCUUCGCCGGGUUCUUCCCGCUACUUCCUGCUUGUUGCGAUGCAAGAUGACCCGCUUUCCCGCUUUCCAGUAUCGUCAGAGCCCGAGUCGCAUCUAUGGAGUCAGUUUCCUGCCAUAAUUCAAACCUGAAAAAAAAAGUUUCAAAGGCUUGUAAGUCUGGGUUUGAAAACUCAACACCUUGUAAUAAAGGUUUUGCAACACUGAAAAAAGAGAUUAUAACCUGAAAAAAAAUAAAACUAAAAUUCAAACAUC